CCUUGACAAGAGGGUGCUCAUGGAUGGCAAAGCAACACCUUCAGCAAGUCCAAAGAAAGCACGAAUAGCCAAGAGACUGGUUGUUGAGUGGUUGGCUGCCAAAGGAGUAAGAAGAGUAGCAAGAGACCAAAGGGCCACUCCCCAAGCCAUCACUCGUUUUCCUCCAUAUCUGUCAACCAACGCUCCUCCAACCACCGACGAAAAUAUGUAUCCCCAUAGAAACGACGACUGAACGAUGCCGAGGAAGGAACUAGACCAGCCAUAUUUGGCAGCAAGAGGAACAAUCGCAACCGACAUAACGACUCUAUCAGCAUUACAAAGACACAUAACGAAUGCUGUUAAUGCAACCACUUUAAACCUCUCCGGCAAGCCGAAUCUAACUCCGGCGGCGGCGGCGGCGGC
rnacentral:misc_RNA from 1 species